rnacentral:lncRNA from 1 species
GGAUCUCACUGCUUAUCCACUCCAAAUGCAAUAGUUUGCAUCGAUCACCCUCAGACUCCCAGUCCAUCCCACUCUCUCCCCCUCCCCCUAGGCUAAUUUAUAACACUCAUUUCUUCUGGAAGCACACCAGUGUUAAAAAGACAUUUAAAUUAGAAAGGGCAUCAAAAUUAAAUUGAGGCCUAUAAAUACCACUUAUUUAUUACAGAAAUUCUGAAUGUCUUUUUAAUGUCAUAAAACUAAAGGGCCAAGGGUGUGAAGGGGAAUUGACAAAGAUAGGAGACAUUUCUUGUCACACUUGGCAGCCUUAACUCAGAAUUUCAGUUGCACAAUAUGGCAUCUAGUAUCCCAGUCUUCCAGGUCCAACUGGCCAAAGGCUGAGCUACCAGAGAGUCUGCUGUCCCAAACCCCAUUUUAUAGUUGAGAAGGAGAAAAAGAGAGAGAGAGGAGAGAAGCAAGGAACUGAAGUUUCUUUCCCCCAAACUGAGACUACAACACUUUGCCUUAGCUGUGAGUGAGCCCAAGCUCUAUUUCCAGGAUAACUUUUUCUUCUCUAUCACUAUACCUCUUUACCCAUAUUUUGGAAGUCCAAGAUAGGAAGUCUCAAGCACUCAAUCAUAGUUGUGGUUUUUUUGUUUUGGUUUUUUUGUUUUUGUUUUUUUCCCUUGGUCUUUGUAUGAUUAGGUAUGUGACCUUCAGAAAGUUACCUAAACUUUCUUUUUAUUUAUUUGUUUAUUUUUAAUGUUAUUUCCCCAAUACAAUUUUUUUCUACUGUACAGCAAGCAUAGUGACCCAGUUACACAUACAUGUAUACAUUCUUUUUUCUCCCAUUAUCAUGCUCUGUCAUAAGAGAUUAGACAUAGUUCUCAAUGCUACACAGCAGAAUUUCAUUGCUAAUCCAUUUCAAAAGCAAUAGUUUGUAUCCAUUACCCCAAAGCUCCCAAUCCAUCCCACUCCCUCUCCCUCCCCCUAGGCAACCACAAGUCUAUUCUCCAAGUCUAUGAUUUUCUUUUCUGGACAAAACUUUCCUUAAAAAAGACCCAUGCACCCGAAUGUUCAUUACAGCUCUAUUCACAAUAGCCAAGAUGUGGAAACAACCCAAAUGUCCAUCGACAGACACUGGAUUAGGAAGACAUGGUAAGUAUACACAAUGGAAUACUACUCAGCCAUAAAAAAGAACCAAAUAAUGCCAUUUGCAGCAACAUAGAUGGAACUAGAGACUCUCGUACUGAGUGAAAUGAGUCAGAAAGACAAAUACCAUAUGAUAUCACUUAUAUCUGGAAUCUAAUAUAUGGCACAAAUGAACCUUUCCACAGAAAAGAAAAUCAUGGACUUGGAGAAUACCUAAACUUUCCAAUGGUACUAUUUCUUGAUCCCAAACUAAGGCAACUAGAAAAGUAAAUUUCAACAAGUUCAUUGUUUUAAAACAUGAUCACACUCUUUAUGGCUGUCACAUCAUAAUGGACAUAUCUGAAAGAAAAGAUAAUAGGUAGCAAUUUAAAUUUAUUACCACAGAGCAAAUUUUUAAAGAUAUACAUUAUAGAUUAAUGUUCAUACUUUUAACAUAAGUGGAGAUUAUAAAAGUCUGCCCUUGAUAGGUCUUGUGUCCACUAUCAAAAGCAAUAGUUGUCAAAAUGCUUUCUUAGAGCACUCUCCAAAGGUUAACAAUGAUUUAAAAGCUUUUAUUUUAAAAGCAGCCCCUGUAACAUUUGGAAUUUUUUCUUGAAUUUCUAUUAAAUGUAUUCAUGUUACCAAUAAAUACAUGGUCAUUUAAACCAAAGACCAACUGGUAAUAUAUAGAUACUUAUCUUACAAGUAAACAUUUUAUUCAUUAUUUAAAAUAAAAUCUUCCUCAGAGAUAUUUAAAAUGUCCUUUCUUAUUCAGAGUGAGUAGAUUACUAUUUCAGAUUAAGUUAACUAAGGGAGAUUUUAUAAAACUUUUCCUUUGAAUUUUAAAAUUGUAUGUCAAGCCUUUAUCUGUGUAUUCUUAACAGAAAUUGCUGAAUAUAUUAAAAGUGGAACACAUUUUCCCUCUUUUUUUUUUUCUCUACCACCUCAUGUUAUUCAGUGCCUUUGUUACAUACAUUUUAGCUGUCUUCCGUAACAUUUCAUUUUCUGGCUACCUAUAUCCAAUGCACUGAGCCACCGACCUCUUGUGAGCAGGUGGGUCCAGGUGACAGAGGAUCAGUACACAGGGUGAAGACAGGUCUAGUUUGGGUAAGUUAGAAUCAACAGCAGAAAGCAAUCAAAAAAAGGGGUUAAGGACAUGAGAGUGUGUAUAGAAAACUAAAGAGAAAUUUUGAAACCACAAAUCUGUAAGUUUCCAGUUAUGUUUUUAAUAGUGAUUUCCUCCUGAGAAAUAAAAAACUAAUUUCCUACUUUAUAAAUUCAUUUCCUAACAAUUCAGUGAGGAGCCAACAUAUUAACCUGGACAUUCAUCCAAAACUAUUUCAAAUCAAUUUGCUACAUCUUACCACGGUUGAAGGCAUUCUUUAAAGAGUGAUUUGCCACCAAAUCAGAGGUUUUCAUGGGUUAUGCAGAUUUGCCUUAUAGUGACAAAAACAAUCCAUAUUCCAGGAAGAUAUCUUUGAAAUUUAGCUUCGUAUUGUCUCAUUUAUUAUAUUUUGAUGUGGUUUAAAAAUUGCAUUUGGCUUUACAAAAGAUGAGGAAAUGAAUUUCCAACCUCAUUCAAUUGUUAUUAAUAAUGUUUAAUUUUCUAAAAACGGUCCAUAUUAUUUGGUAGAGACUAUGAAUAGGUUUCCAGGAAAAAACCUUCUAUGUGCAUAAACUCCUAAUGGACUGAUAACAUUUUGGCCUUCUAUUCUAUUUCCUAAGCAGUAUGUUUUGAAAAUUCUAUGCUGUAGCAUUAAUCUUAGUAACUGCAGAUGCCAAAAGUUCCAGUGUCUGUCAGAAAACACCAUUCCUAAUGGCACUGAUAUUUUACUUCUGUUAAAUAUUUAAAUAUUUAGUUUCUAAAAAAUUUACCUAGAACUCAACAUAUUUUCCUCUAAUUUGAAAUAUUCUAUCAUGAAGUUAAAUUGAGGCUCAAUGACUCUAAUUAAAAUUGCAAAUGAACAUCUUUUACUGUAUAGUAUACUACAAAUUUUUUUUAACUGCAAAUGUUAAUACAUUCCAGAAAAUUUCUUCGUAGAAUAGUGGCUAAAUCAUUACCCCCAAAUUACAAUUGUCAUGAGCCAAAUGUAUUAGCUGCAUCAUCUCCAAGUCAUACACACUCAACGACUGAUUUUAGGCUUGUUCAUUUCCAGCUGACAUCCGACCACUGAAGAAGUUGGCCUAACGUAUGAAUCUCAUUGCAUUACACCAUUAUCUUUUUAAAAUACAGUUCUUAAUCCAUGACUUAUGUGGAAUAGGGGUAAGACAUAGAACAGAGGAUGACACCUCAGAAAUUGGGUGCAAAAUUUUGUGUGAAUGCAUACACGUACCAUUUUAAGAAAUAACAAAGUACAUCUUUGACAGUUAAUAUAGAUUCUCUGUGAAUAAGAGGACUGAUUUGAAAUAGCUCUUGUCCAAAUCAGGCAAGUUUCUUGCCCUGUCUAUACCUUAGAUUCCGUACCUAUAAAAUACAGCAUACCAACCUAAAAUUAUGAAGACUCUAUGAGAUUUUUCCACGUGCUGAGCACACAGUAAGCACUCAAUAAAUGUUCACUACUAUUAGGAUUACUAGAAUGUGAAACCUUCUAUUAGUAUAACUUCUAUCGCGAUAGUCAAAGGAAUAUGUGACUCCACAAAGACAAAGGACUACCAUCUACAAGACGUAGUCUUUGUCAUGCAAUAGGAAGUCAUUCAAAAUACAGCUUCUGUGUAUCCCUCAAUUGUGAUUUUCUAGUACUGUCUGUUCCUACCUACCAAAUUAAAGGUCAUUCUGAAUAUGCCUUACCUACAUACCCCUGAAGGCUCCAUGUUUCAACAACUCUGCACCUUAGAUCUGACACAUACUCUAUCACAUUCUAAAGAUGAAAAUACUAGGUGCUCAAUCAAUAUUUUGUACAAAUUUCAUGAGAAAAUAUAUCACUUUUGCUCUUCUCUCAGUGAAAUUACAGGUAGUUAGAUUUUGAUCAAAAACCUCUAUAACAGCUAAAGAAUAUUACUCCUGUGGUUCAUGACAAAUUAGAUGAGUAGGACUUUAGUACCAGCCCUUACUGUCUAGGCAUGCUGAAGAAAUUAUUUGUAAAUUAUAUUUAUUGGAAUUGCUAAAAAUAUCAAUACCUGGUAAUUCUUUGUGUCUCCUUAAAAGUUUUAUUGAAAUAAAUUAUACCAUACUGAUGAUAUUUCUUUAUGAAAAUCUUGCAACCACUGUGUGAAAAAUACGUAAGAAGAAUCUACAUUUUGAUUACUUUUCCAUUAUAAACUUAAGGAGAAUUAAGGACUAUCCAAAGAAUCUUUUGAGGGCACAAUAACAUGACUUAAGUGGCAAACAGGAACAGGACUAUUAUCAGAAACACUGUCUGAAAUGAACUCUUACCAACAGUUUAAAGGAGUGGUGAUAACAAAAGCACUUUCUCCCUUUUAAAGCAACAUAUUUCCUCCUAGAAAUCUCUAAAUUAGUUUUAUGAAACUGUGUAUCCUUAAAAUAAAA